rnacentral:rRNA from 2 species
UACGUAUGUCCCGAGCGUUAUCCGGAUUUAUUGGGCGUAAAGCGAGCGCAGACGGUUGAUUAAGUCUGAUGUGAAAGCCCGGAGCUCAACUCCGGAAAGGCAUUGGAAACUGGUCAACUUGAGUGCAGUAGAGGUAAGUGGAACUCCAUGUGUAGCGGUGGAAUGCGUAGAUAUAUGGAAGAACACCAGCGGCGAAGGCGGCUUACUGGACUGUAACUGACGUUGAGGCUCGAAAGUGUGGGUAGCAAACAGG